UGCAGCAACGCCGCGUGAGGGAUGACGGCCUUCGGGUUGUAAACCUCUUUUAGUAGGGAAGAAGCGAAAGUGACGGUACCUGCAGAAAAAGCACCGGCUAACUACGUGCCAGCAGCCGCGGUAAUACGUAGGGUGCAAGCGUUGUCCGGAAUUAUUGGGCGUAAAGAGCUCGUAGGCGGUUUGUCGCGUCUGCUGUGAAAUCCCGAGGCUCAACCUCGGGCUUGCAGUGGGUACGGGCAGACUAGAGUGCGGUAGGGGAGAUUGGAAUUCCUGGUGUAGCGGUGGAAUGCGCAGAUAUCAGGAGGAACACCGAUGGCGAAGGCAGAUCUCUGGGCCGUAACUGACGCUGAGGAGCGAAAGCAUGGGGAGCGAACAGGAUUAGAUACCCUGGUAGUCCAUGCCGUAAACGUUGGGCGCUAGAUGUAGGGACCUUUCCACGGUUUCUGUGUCGUAGCUAACGCAUUAAGCGCCCCGCCUGGGGAGUACGGCCGCAAGGCUAAAACUCAAAGGAAUUGACGGGGGCCCGCACAAGCGGCGGAGCAUGCGGAUUAAUUCGAUGCAACGCGAAGAACCUUACCAAGGCUUGACAUACACCGGAACGGCCAGAGAUGGUCGCCCCCUUGUGGUCGGUG
rnacentral:rRNA from 1 species